CACGUAGGGUGCGAGCGUUGUCCGGAAUUAUUGGGCGUAAAGAGCUCGUAGGCGGUGUGUCGCGUCGGCCGUGAAAACCUGCAGCUUAACUGUGGGCUUGCGGUCGAUACGGGCAUCACUGGAGUUCGGCAGGGGAGACUGGAAUUCCUGGUGUAGCGGUGAAAUGCGCAGAUAUCAGGAGGAACACCGGUGGCGAAGGCGGGUCUCUGGGCCGUAACUGACGCUGAGGAGCGAAAGCAUGGGGAGCGAGCAGG
rnacentral:rRNA from 1 species